rnacentral:rRNA from 1 species
GUGAGGAAUAUUGGUCAAUGGGCGGGAGCCUGAACCAGCCAAGUCGCGUGAAGGAAGAAGGAUCUAUGGUUCGUAAACUUCUUUUGCAGGGGAAUAAAGUGCAGGACGUGUCCUGUUUUGUAUGUACCCUGAGAAUAAGGAUCGGCUAGCUCCGUGCCAGCAGCCGCGGUAAUACGGAGGAUCCGAGCGUUAUCCGGAUUUAUUGGGUUUAAAGGGUGCGUAGGUGGUUUGAUAAGUCAGCGGUGAAAGUUUGCAGCUUAACUGUAAAAAUGCCGUUGAAACUGUCGGACUUGAGUGUAAAUGAGGUAGGCGGAAUGCGUGGUGUAGCGGUGAAAUGCAUAGAUAUCACGCAGAACUCCGAUUGCGAAGGCAGCUUACUAAGCUACAACUGACACUGAAGCACGAAAGCGUGGGGAUCAAACAGGAUUAGAUACCCUUGUAGUCC